GAAGCGGUGGCUCAAUGGUAGAGCUUUCGACUCCAGUGAAGUUUAGCAUUGGUGUUUAUCGAAGGGUUGCAGGUUCAAUUCCUGUCCGUUUCA